rnacentral:rRNA from 1 species
CAUCCGCCAGAGAACUACACGAGAAAAUCUUAAAACUCAAAGGACUUGACGGUGGCCCACAUCAACCUAGAGGAGCCUGUCCCUUAAUCGAUACUCCACGAUACACCCUACCACCCCUCACAACUACAAGCCUAUAUACCGCCGUCGCCAGCCUACUUGCUGACAAGACAAAAGUUGGCAAAACAGUUUUCCCACUAACACGUCAGGUCGAGGCGUAGCUAAUGGGGUGGACAAAGAUGGGCUACAUUUUCUACCCACUAGACCACGCCGUAAGCUCUAUGAAACUUGAGACGAAAGUCGGAUUUAGCAGUAAGCAUAGGCAAGACAUGCCUGACUGAAGUCUGCUCCAGGCCGCGUACACACC